UCGGCGUCCACUGCAUACAAGGCACAAUUUCUGGGUUUGACGCUUUCCCCCAUGGACUCCAUGGUCUGGAAAAUGUGGGCGCCCCCAAAGGUCAAAUUCUUCUCUUGGCUGGCCUUACAAGAUCGGAUUUGGACCGCCGACAGGCUAGAGCGACGUGGCUGGGACAACUGCGGUCUUUGUCCGCUCUGUAAGCAGGUGCAGGAGUCGGGCAUCCACCUAUUCGCCAAAUGCCGCUUCACCUUGAGGCUUUGGCGGAUGCUCAUUGACAAGUAUGGGCUUGCGCAUCUAGACCCUUCUGACUGGCACCUUGAGGAUUCCCUCCUCUCUUGGUGGGACAAGCGCACCAAUUCGAGCAUUCCGGAUCGUCGAGCCAUGGCCUCCCUU
rnacentral:rRNA from 1 species